AUGUUCAACUGGUUUAAUAAACUUUUUUUGGUUAUUGGUUCUUCAUACAAGGCAAUUUGGAGUGAAUGUAUUGGUUUGCUGCAUGACUUUUACAGGUUUUCUAAAGGCUUUGGUGAGCUGACUUGCGUCGGUUUUACACCAAUUUUCAUUGGGAAGCAGCAAGUAUUAUGGCAAGAUGGAAAGAUGAACCUAUUUAGGCAUGUUUCGAACUUGAUGAUGGCAUUUUGA